UACAGAGGUCCCAAGCGUUGUUCGGAUUCACUGGGCGUAAAGGGUGCGUAGGUGGCCAGGUAAGUUCGGUGUGAAAGCUCGGGGCUUAACUUCGAAAUGGCAUUGAAUACUAUCUGGCUAGAGGGUCGGAGGGGAGACUGGAAUUCUCGGUGUAGCAGUGAAAUGCGUAGAUAUCGAGAGGAACACCAGUGGCGAAGGCGAGUCUCUGGACGACUCCUGACACUGAGGCACGAAAGCCAGGGGAGCAAACAGG
rnacentral:rRNA from 1 species